ACGGGUGAGGAAUACAUCGGAAUCUACCUUUUCGUGGGGGAUAACGUAGGGAAACUUACGCUAAUACCGCAUACGACCUUCGGGUGAAAGCAGGGGACCUUCGGGCCUUGCGCGGAUAGAUGAGCCGAUGUCGGAUUAGCUAGUUGGCGGGGUAAAGGCCCACCAAGGCGACGAUCCGUAGCUGGUCUGAGAGGAUGAUCAGCCACACUGGAACUGAGACACGGUCCAGACUCCUACGGGAGGCAGCAGUGGGGAAUAUUGGACAAUGGGCGCAAGCCUGAUCCAGCCAUACCGCGUGGGUGAAGAAGGCCUUCGGGUUGUAAAGCCCUUUUGUUGGGAAAGAAAAGCAGUCGAUUAAUACUCGGUUGUUCUGACGGUACCCAAAGAAUAAGCACCGGCUAACUUCGUGCCAGCAGCCGCGGUAAUACGAAGGGUGCAAGCGUUACUCGGAAUUACUGGGCGUAAAGCGUGCGUAGGUGGUUGUUUAAGUCUGUUGUGAAAGCCCUGGGCUCAACCUGGGAAUUGCAGUGGAUACUGGGCGACUAGAGUGUGGUAGAGGGUAGUGGAAUUCCCGGUG
rnacentral:rRNA from 1 species